GCCGUUCGGGUUCGGCCUCGAGGCCGGAUCGAAGGCGGAGCUCCUCCUCGCCAUGAACUGCCUCACUAGGGCGAGCCCGGAGGCGUUCCUCAUCUGCAACGGGUACAAGGACGAGGAGUAUAUCGCCCUCGCCCUCGUCGCCCGUAGCAUGGAUCUCAACACGGUCAUCGUUCUGGAGCAGGAGGAGGAGCUCGACACGGUGGUCGAGACCAGCCAUAGGCUCGGCGUUCGGCCGGUGAUUGGCCUCCGGGCCAAGCUCCGCACCAAGCAUUCUGGUCAUUUCGGAUCCACCUCCGGAGAGAAGGGCAA
rnacentral:lncRNA from 1 species